rnacentral:lncRNA from 1 species
CGCCCGCGCAUGCGCUGUCCAGGGCCGACGCGGUUGUAUCAUGCUGAGAAGGAGCCGGGCGGGGGCCGGCGGGGCUGCGAGGGCCCUGUGAGGAGGGGCACCUGCCACUAGAAGCGGCCUCUGGGACGUCGCGCUGAGCCCUGCUUUGGAGUCAGAGGGGCUUUCCGCCUCGGUGAACUCGAGAGUAGCAACUCUCCUCCGGGUAACCGGAGUGCCACAGCGGGCAGGCGUCAUAAGGACAGGCCUCGGAGAGGAGAGGGGCUACCCGAGAAUGGCCUCAAAACCGGUUUCUGCCCGCUACUCAGGAUUGUCUGCCGUGGUGGCUUCUCACACAAGCCUGUACUUUCCUGUGGGAGAAUAUUUCCUAGGAGCCUAUAUUCCAGUUCAUCUCUGACGUCAUAAAUCAUGACUGUGUAGAAAGGCCAUAACAUGUGACACAUGGCAGCCAUUUUGGAGAUGGCCAGAUGAGAGGACAAUCAAUCCACAUGCCUAAAUGGAACCAACAGACAUGUGCCAGCUUGCUUCUCCAGCCUAUGUUCUCAGACACUUGUAGAAGACCAGAGGGAAAAUGGAAUCAGAAAAAACAGCAACAACAACAAAAAGCCAUCCAGGGCCAUGCACAGUGGCUCACUCCUGUAAUCCCAACAGUUUGGGAGGCCAAGGCAGGUGGAUUGCUUGAGCUCAGCAGUUUAAGACCAGCCUGGGCAACAUGGCGAAACCCUUUCUCUACUAAAUACAAAAACUAGCUGGGUGUGGUGGCAUGCACCUGUAGUCCCAGCUACUCGGGAGGCUGAGGUGGGAGGAUCACCUGAGCCUGGGAGGUUGAAGCUGCAGUGAGCUGUGAUGGUGCCACUGCACUCCCACCUGGGUGACAGAGCAAGACCCUGUCUCAAAAAAACAAAACUAAACAAAAAAAUCCAUGUGGGAAAAGGCCCAAUCAGAGCCAACUCACUGCUGGGAUUAGUAGAAAUGAUUAGUCACCAGAAGGCAAAUCGUGGAAGAAUGAAGAGAUGACAGGACCUCAGGAACUACACCCAGAGGUGUAGUUGUGCCGUAGGCAAAGCAUCAUGCCGGUCAUCCCCAAGAAAGGGAGAAGGGGUAGAGCUCAGACUCUUCCCUGCUUCCCCAUAAGUCCAGUUUACCCUGGGCUGAUCCUUUCAGCAUGGCAGCCUCCGUGGGGAGGCACGAGAUCCAAAGAUGAAGAUGUCUAUGGGGGUGAAGAAGAAUGGCAAACUUUGCAGGCAAGAGUAGGCAUUAGAGAGAUCAGAGGAGGAAGACAAUAGAGAAGGAUGACACAGGACAGGCUGUAUCUAGAGGAUAUAAUGCCAUGGACUUUGGACUAUUCCAGAGAGGCUGAGAGACCUGUCUCCUGCCUACAAGGCUCCUUGAACUCUGCACCCUUCUUUUUGCUAAAGUGCUGCUGAGGCCUGUCUCACUUCCCAAUGAAAAGCAACUCAGGAAAUUGGCUUCCUGCCCCACUCCUUCUUUGGGAGAGAGAAACAGAACUGAAGAGGAAGGAAGGAAGCCCAAAGAAACAGAGGCUUUCUUUCCUGGCUGAGAUUUGUUGGCACUGCCCACUAACAUAGAGAAUAAGGUGGUUCCCUAAGCGAGCCUUAAGCUGGCAUGAGGCUACAAACAAGUGAUUGUAUCUUCGUUCUGCUCAGCAGCCUACCUGGGCUGGCCUGGACAACCUCAAUUGUAUACUGAGGUCUUAAGCUGGCCAUGGCCCUUGGUAAAGCAGGAGAAAGGAAUAAGGCUGGAAGGUACAGAAUUUGCUUGAUGCCUUGCCUACAUAAUUCCUUUGCUGUUGCAACUGGCAACUCUUUGCUUGCAUUAUAUGAAAAAAAGGCGGUAAAAAAUUGUCAGAAAUGUUUGCCACCAGCCUAACCCCACUGCCCAUGCAUUGCUCCCAAGAAAGCUAAUUAAGGCCCAUUGCUAUUAGAGUUACAUGAUUCUGAAGGCUUGUUAUGACAAGAAAAAAUAAUGAAGACAUGGUUCCUCCAAGUCAUAAGCAUCCAAGUCAAAACAUACUGCAUCCCAGGCGAGUGUGGUGGCUCACGCCUGUAAUCCCAGCACUUCGGGAGGCCAAGGCAGCCGGAUCACGAGGUCAGGAGUUCGAGACCAGCCUUGCCAAGAUGAUGAAACCCCGUCUCUACUAAAAAUACAAAAAUUAGCCAGGCAUGGUGGCGGGCGCCUGUACUCCCAGCUACUCAGGAAGCUGAGGCAGGAGAAUCGCUUGAAACCGGGAGGCGGAGGUUGCAAUGAGCCGAGAUCACACCACUGCACUGUACCCUGGGCGUCAGAGCAAGACUCCAUCUCAAAAAAAAAAGAAAAAAACAUCCUGCAUCCCUUGUUCCUUUGUGUUCCCCUAGACAAGCCUCUGGGCUGGCUUUGCCUAUCUCAUGCAUGCAGGCAGUCAUCCUCCUUUGGCCAGUGCAUACCUGACUCCUACUCAGUGCCAGGCCUGGAGAAGACUGUGAGACCUGCCCUUGAGGAGUUCUGUUUGCAGGAAGAGAGUGAUAGGCACACAAAUUAUUUCCAAUAAACUACAGAAAAUGUCACCAGAAUCUCUAUUGUGAUCAUGUCCCCCACCCAUGUCUGUUUCAUAGAUUGGGGGAGAACAGGCCCGGGUGGAAAGUCAUGCACUUAUGCCCUCUCCUGACCAGCCCACAUGUCCUACCCCAGCCAACAGUGGUUCAGGCAUGACUCUGACUGCUCAUGGGAAAGAGCAGCUUGCUCA